GCUCAGGACGAACGCUGGCGGCGCGCCUAACGCAUGCAAGUCGAACGAGCGAGAGAUAGCUUGCUUUCUCGAGCGAGUGGCGAACGGGUGAGUAACGCGUGAGGAACCUGCCUCAAAGAGGGGGACAACAGUUGGAAACGACUGCUAAUACCGCAUAAGCCCACGGCUCGGCAUCGAGCAGAGGGAAAAGGAGCAAUCCGCUUUGAGAUGGCCUCGCGUCCGAUUAGCUAGUUGGUGAGGUAACGGCCCACCAAGGCGACGAUCGGUAGCCGGACUGAGAGGUUGAACGGCCACAUUGGGACUGAGACACGGCCCAGACUCCUACGGGAGGCAGCAGUGGGGAAUAUUGCACAAUGGGGGGAACCCUGAUGCAGCGAUGCCGCGUGGAGGAAGAAGGUUUUCGGAUUGUAAACUCCUGUCUUAAGGGACGAUAAUGACGGUACCUUAGGAGGAAGCUCCGGCUAACUACGUGCCAGCAGCCGCGGUAAUACGUAGGGAGCGAGCGUUGUCCGGAAUUACUGGGUGUAAAGGGAGCGUAGGCGGGAUUGCAAGUCAGAUGUGAAAACUAUGGGCUUAACCCAUAGACUGCAUUUGAAACUGUAGUUCUUGAGUGAAGUAGAGGUAAGCGGAAUUCCUAGUGUAGCGGUGAAAUGCGUAGAUAUUAGGAGGAACAUCGGUGGCGAAGGCGGCUUACUGGGCUUUUACUGACGCUGAGGCUCGAAAGCGUGGGGAGCAAACAGGAUUAGAUACCCUGGUAGUCCACGCUGUAAACGAUGAUUACUAGGUGUGGGGGGACUGACCCCUUCCGUGCCGCAGUUAACACAAUAAGUAAUCCACCUGGGGAGUACGACCGCAAGGUUGAAACUCAAAGGAAUUGACGGGGGCCCGCACAAGCAGUGGAGUAUGUGGUUUAAUUCGAAGCAACGCGAAGAACCUUACCAGGUCUUGACAUCGAGUGACGAGCUAAGAGAUUAGCUUUCCUUUCGAGGCACGAAGACAGGUGGUGCAUGGUUGUCGUCAGCUCGUGUCGUGAGAUGUUGGGUUAAGUCCCGCAACGAGCGCAACCCUUACCAUUAGUUGCUACGCAAGAGCACUCUAAUGGGACUGCCGUUGACAAAACGGAGGAAGGUGGGGAUGACGUCAAAUCAUCAUGCCCCUUAUGACCUGGGCUACACACGUACUACAAUGGCAAUUAACAAAGAGCAGCAAAGCCGCGAGGUGGAGCGAAUCUCCAAAAAUUGUCCCAGUUCAGAUUGCAGGCUGCAACUCGCCUGCAUGAAGUCGGAAUUGCUAGUAAUCGUAGAUCAGCAUGCUACGGUGAAUACGUUCCCGGGCCUUGUACACACCGCCCGUCACACCAUGGGAGUCGGUAACACCCGAAGUCGGUAGUCUAACAGCAAUGAGGACGCCGCCGAAGGUGG
rnacentral:rRNA from 1 species